rnacentral:lncRNA from 1 species
UAUAUUGCGUGUGUCUGGGUGUGGAUAAAAAUGGCAGCCACUCAUGGGAAAAUAAUCUUGUUCAUGUUUCUUGCAGCCUUUAUGUUGUUUAAUACCCAAAAUGCAUUCGUGAGUUGUGCUUUAACAUCAGAGUUACAAAACAAAAUUGCUAAAAUCAACGAAGAGGGUCCUUAUUUGGGUUUAAUCAUACCAAAUUCUUUUGAACUUAACCCUCUUCUUCAAAAUCCAGGCUAUACUCCUAGUGAUAGCAUCAUAGAUUUUGCAGGUAAGUGCAUGUGUCUAUCCGAGGACAUAUAACUAUAUGCUUCUUUUCUUUCUCUUCUGUAAAUUGAACAAAUGAAAGAUCCUAGUUUUCUUUUACUAGAGCUGCGUCUUGUAAACAAGUAAUUUCUAACUACUAUAAAUCAUAUAUUGACUUCUAAAUAACAUCAACAGUAAAUAAAUAACUCAAAUAGUUAAUUAUAUCAAUAACAUGUUCGUGAAAUUUUGUUAGGGAAAAAAAGUAAUAGCACUUUCUAAUUUGCCUAUUUUUUGAUGGCUAAUAACGAAGGAAGGAGAUUUCGUUUUGGAUCCAUUGGCGAGAAACCAGUUAUACUGGUAAUGACGGGAUUGAGCGUGGUACGUACGUAUUUUUUUGUUGUUUUUGAGAUUAUUUAAACUAAUUAUUGGAAUUACUUUAUUAAAUUGUGUCUAAUAUUUUUGUACUGAUGCAUGCAUGAAAUGUGUAGAUAAACGCAGCUAUAACAACACAGCUUCUAUUAAGCUUUUUCAAAGUAGAUGGAGUUGUUCAUUACGGAAUUGCUGGAAAUGCAAACCCUUCAUUGCAUAUUGGAGAUGUUGCUAUUCCACAUUAUUGGGCUCAUUUAGCACUUUGGAGCUGGCAGGUAGUACAGUCCACAAUAAUACUCAAUAAAAAAUUAACAUGAAAUAAUGAAUAUAUACUACUGAAGAAAUCAUUUAUAAGAAAUAAAUAAAAAAAUUAGUAUUUUCUAUAUCUCAAGCUAGCUUUGGCUUUUUUAUUUGUCCAUAAAAAUCUCAACUAUUAUAAUUAGUAUUCUAUAGGGAUUACAAAGCUUAUUAUUACUAAUUAAAAUAAUAUUGAUAACUGUUUUAUAACUAUCUUCGAUGGACUUUGAACAUCAUCCCUUCGAAUUAAAGUGUUAUACUCUUAUCAAUGGACUAAUUAAUAUUUUGGUGGUGUUCGGGGUUCGAACCUCUUACAAUUUGCAGCUUUUGACUUCUACAAUUGAUUUUAGCCUUACAUUUAUUGCGAAAUCCGCUUUUACAUAAAUACUCCAAACAUAAAUCAUUUUAAAAUCAACUCAAUUUUAACGAUAAUCAAUUUUAUAGAAACAAAUUUCUCAAAAUCAAUUCUUGUACAGACGCUCGACUUGAUAGAUUAACGAAUUGCAUAUUUGGCGAAGUUUGUAAUAAUCUGAUGGAGAUUAACGAUUGUAUGUGCAGAGGUAUGGGCAAGAUGCUGAUGAUACGUUACCACUAGAAAUCAAUGGUGACUACACAAGGGACGUAGGUUUCUUGAAAUUUUCAGAUUUUACCUCAAACAUAAGUGCUGCUGACAGUGUUACAGUUGACAAUCAUCUCAACAAUCUUUGGUACCAACCAGAAGAGAUUUUUCCAGUUGAUGGCAUUCCUGAACAAAGGCAACAUGCUCUUUGGGUCCCUGUUGAUUCCGAGUACUACCGUAUUGCCAAAAAACUCGAGGUAUGGCCUAUGAUUCCAACCAGUACCAUAUAUGUAAAAAUUCAAAGAUAUCAACUAUCAAUAAUUCAAAGAUCCUUCGCCUUUUAAAUAUACGUAAAAAUUGAUCAAUAAAAAUUUAUGUUUUUGGUCCAAUUUUUGGACUAAAUAUAUCGGCUAUCCUUGAUUAAAUUUUACUUAAAUUUGAGAUUGUAUCAGUAAUUUUUAAUGUUUUUUUUAUGAAAUAAAAAACGAUUUUGUGUUUGUUUAUCAUAAUAAAAAUAGAUAUUAGUUAUCUAAUUUUUUUUUUUAAUAGAAGCUACUAAAAAACAACUUUUAAUUUAAAUAUGUUUUUAGAUUAUAAAUUCCUUCAAAUUCUCAGUUAAAAAAUUGCAAUAGAAUGUCUAAAAGUAAUUAUUUUGUUUAAAAAAGUUUGUCACAAUUAAAAUAUUUUUUUGUCAAAUUUUAUUUACCCAUCAACCAAAUUUUCGGGAUUACCCAUUUCAUUAAUUUGAGAAUGAGAGUUGUUUUUAUUUUUAAAUAAUGCACUAAAGUUCGUAAAUUUUAAAUAUGGAGAAGUUGAGUGUUCGAGAUUAAAACCUCGACUCCUGCAUAUAAUAUGCAACAUCCCUACCAACUGAAUCAAGUUUACGGAAUAGACUGAGAUAAUUAUUGGUACAUAAAAUAAUACAACAUAUUGACAACCACUCAACGAAAUAUUUUUUACUCAAAUGAUUGUUGUAUAUACAACUAAUUUAAUUUACACGUUGGUUUUCGAUAACACAUAGAUUGUGUUUUGACGUUUUUGGCACUGCCUAAUUAUUUAAUAUACUCCUAUAUAUAAAUUCUGUCUUUAUUGGCAACCACAAAUAUAAAAUCCAAUAUUUUUUAUGAUCUCUAAAAACAAAAAUAAAAUAACAUGGUUAUGAUUUUUUCGAAUAUAUAUUUUUCAGCAAAUGAAACUAGAUGCGUGUAUAGACUCAGACACAUGCUUGACAACGACACCAAAGGUUGUGCUUGUGGAGAGAGGAACAAGUGCAGGGUUCUAUCUAGACAAUGCAGCAUACAGAACCUUCAUCUUCAAUAAGUUUAACGUGAGUCCAGUGGACAUGGAAAGUGCAUCAGUGGCUCUUAUAUGCUUGCAACAAAGGAUUCCUUUCAUUGCUAUUAGGGCUCUCUCUGACUUGGCUGGUGGCGGCACCGCGGAGUCGAACGAGGCUGAUACCUUCUCACCACUGGCUGCAACCAACUCUGUUGCUGUGGUCAUUGAGUUUGUGAAGCUAUUGUCAUCACACCACUCUAAGUGGUAAACUAUGUUAUGAUGAUGUUUUCAAUAAUCCGUAAUUAGUGCAAUUAUAUGCACAUGUAGACAACAACUUUGUUCUGGUUGUUUGUCCGGAAUAUAAUAAAGCACCAGCACUAAAUAAAUAUUAUCAUAUAUAUAAUUAAGCUCUAAAUGGUACUUAUAGAUGGACUAUCAGACAUCUGAAGGUAACGACAUAUAUAUCAACUCUAACACAGUAUUUCCAUUGCAGCAGCACUAGAUUAAUGUUUCCCUCAGACUCCAUUUCUCAUGUGAAAAUAAAUGCAUUCAUCUAAAACCGCAAAAAUAACAUUUCUUUCACUUUAAUUUGAAUACACUUUUUAAGAUGGUGAAUUCUUUGGCAUAAUUCGUUAGGCAAAGUUAGCCAAAAUUUAGAAUAUUACUUAAAAUAUAAUUAAUCAUAGAAAAAUGACACAAUCUUACAUAAUUAGAUAUCGAAUACUAUAUAUGACUAAAAAUCUUCAAGGAUAUGGAUCUAGUUACCAAAUGGUGUUGUGGCUUAAAGGAGAUAUUGAUUAUUUGUUCUCUUUAAAUGGAAAAUUAUAUAUAUUAACAGAAAUGAUGAUUACAGGAACCAAAAAAAAUAAUAUAUGACGAGUACAAAAAGGUAAAACCCCUUAUAUUAACAUAAAUGACGAGUACAAGAAUCUUUUCCCUCUUUAACAUUUUUUUUUAUAAAGAGUUUUUUUUUUCCGUAGAUAGAAGAAAUGAUCAUUUGCCAUUUUUUCCAUCUAGAAUAAAACCAUUAUAAAAAAUAUAUAUAUAUAAAAAAAAAAGAGGAAAGAGGAAAGGUAAUUAAGAUGAACAUAAAAGAAAAACUUGAAAAACAUCUUAAACCAAACCAAAAAAAAUUAUCCAAGCAAUCCAAACCAAGAAAAUAAACAAUAACCAUCAAGUAUGAGAUAUCGAUUCUAUUUCAGUAUAGUGUAAAUGUAAUUUCAAAAUUGUUCUUUAGGCGCCUAGGAUUCUUCAUAAGCACAUCAAGCCCUAAACUUCACUGAUAGAUAACUACAGUCCGCAAGUGAACGGUAGUUAAGAACCAUUCACUACUUUUUAAAUCGGUUAAUCGGGUAACUGAUCUAAAAUGUAUUAUGUUUAUGGGCAAACCUACGAGACCUUGUUAGUUCAAAUAAGUACGACUUUUUAGGGAAGUUAAGUGUGUUACGGAUGUCACUAAUCAUUAUUUCAAACAGAGAAUUAUGACUUUUUAGGAUCUUUAGGAACGGUUUUUAACUUCCCUCAAAAAAAAAGAAAAGAACGGUUUUUAACUACCAUUCGCUACCAAAUGGUUUGUAACUCCCGAUGAGGGUCUUUAUAGAAGUUUAAGGCACUUCUGAGCAAUUGCUAGAUGCUUAAAGAACAAUUUCCUUAUAAUUUGUGGUUAAGCACAUGGAUAAAGAUUAAUCUUAUAAUGGAUCAAACACUUAAAUCUUACAAAAAUUAUCUGGUGAAUCCACCAUAGAAUUAAAAAUUCUAAUGUCAUAUAAAGUUUGAAAAGAAAACAACAUAAGCUUGUGGAGAUUCUUUCAUUAAAAAAAAGCUUGUAGAGAUAUUUUGAUUAGAGUGCCCAAGCCCAAAGCAAUAAUAAUCAAUGAAAAAGAAAACAAUAAACACGUUCUAUUAUUAAUAAUGAAUUGGGUGUGCGUAAUGAUUCUAUUUUUUUAUUUUUUUUGUCAAGUAGCCUAGUAGUUAGAGCUCACACAAUUUAAUUGUGGAGAAGUGGGGUGUCGGAGGUUCGAACCCCAGCCCCUACAUAUAAUAUCCAAUAUUCCUACCAACUGAGCUAAGCUCAUGAAAAUUGUAAUGAUUCUACUUAAUUGGAAUGAAAAUGUGAAUAAGAUUUCAUUGAUUCACUCAAUUAAGCGAGUAAUGAUAGGAAACAAAAGAAAUGUAAUAAGAAUCGGAAGAAGAUUAGUAGUGAGGGGAUAGAGAAUGAUAGAGAAAGAAGUUACAUCACAUAUAUUAUUUGUCUUGUUUUUUUUUUAGUACAAAUCAUUUAUCUAUUGAAACGUAUACAAGUUAGUCAUUUUUUCAUUUGUUAUAUUAAAAAAUUGUGUUAAAGUGACUUAUCACGUAUGAUUAUUAGUAAUAGUUUUAAUUAUCAAUAAUUUUUAUCGUUAAAAAAACUCAGAAAAAACAAAUAUCCAUCUUCUUUGUUUUCUCAUCAUCUUCACCUUCACCUUCAUAAUCUUAUUUCAUCAAACCCAUAAAAUUCAAAUUAAAACAUCAAGUCUUAGUGUCUCAAAUCAAAACCUAGAAAAAGUAAACCCUAAUAAUCAUAUGUGGCAAGCUUCAUCACUAUUUUUUAAUGAAAAAAAAGGAUUAACUUGUAAAUACUUCAAGAGAUAGAGGAUUUAAAUGAGAUAAAAAAAAAAAGAUAAAGAACUCAACUGUUGUAAAUAAAUAAGAUAAAUGAUCUCUGGAGUUAUUUUGCAUAUACCUUACUAUGAGAAAUGUUAUGAACGCUCUUAUUUUAACACUUUAUCUAACAUCCACUCUUUUAUUGAAUGAAAUCUAAGUUAGUUUCAUGAUUAUAUGUGUGGCUCAUUUUUAAAGUGUAUGAUCCACAUGAGUUUGACUAAUAAAAAAAUUAAUGUUAAAGAGAUAAUUAGAAAGUUUGACCUAAUAAAAGAAUUAAUGUUAAAGAGAGGGUUAGAAAUGAAGUGUUAUAUCACUUUGGUUCUUUACUAUAACCCAUUGCAAGUUGCAACUUUUAACAUCCAUCCUCCUUCAGAAAAAAAUAAAAAAUAAAAACUUAUUUAUCUAGAGAUAUCGUCCCUCCCCGCUGUCCUAUUGUAUCUUUGCAUGAUUGCAUCACAACGUAAAUGCUCGCCAUGAGUACCUCAAGGCUGAAGAAUCGUAUCAUUAAUAAAAUUAAUAUUUGUUUAUUUGAUUAAAAGUGAAAGAAAUAAAAUUAUAAAACACGAUUUAACAAAACAAAAGAAGGUAAGAGAAAACAAACAGGCCGGCAGAGAGAAGAAAGUCCCAUCAACUUUCUUCCAAAACAAGAAAGCUAAAAAGAUCAACUUAAUAUCACACAUUCCACGGGACAAACGAGGAAGCAAAAGAAAAAAUUAUUAGGUGAAAUUAGAUUUUUUUUAGAGGUAUUAGGUCACAUUAGUUGAAUAAUAAAUGAUGUUAAUCUCUAGUUGUUUAAAAAAAAUGUGUUAACCUCUACUUCUUAGGAUUUUUUUAAAAACCACUAGUUCUUGAAAAAUAAUGUUAGUAAUACGAAGUUGGAUCGAACAACAUUAUUCUUCCUUUUUUGGUAUUAGCUCUAUCAUUCUCCUCCCUAAGCAUAAGAAAAAACAAAUUUGAGAGAGAUAAGCAUCAAUUUUCUAAUUAUUUAUUUUUUUCUUCGCCUUAUAGUUCAAUUAUAUUUUUUCACUAAACCUUCACACAUCCUCCCUAAUAUCAUUAGCAACCUUAUGUAAUAAAUAUAGGUGUGCAAAUUUUAAGGAAAGAUAUUCACUUGGUUAUCAACAACUUCGUGCUAGUCUAUUUUUUUUGUUCGUUUAUCCAAAGACCCGCCUUGUAUUCCUUCUGUAAAAACUAAAUUUGAGAAGAAAAAAAAUUGUUCUACUAUUGAGCCUCUCAUUCAAUGACGAAUCUAGGACCAUAUGUCAAGGGAUGAUUUAUUUAUUUAUUUUUUUUAAUUUUAAAGAGUCUAAUGAUAAAGUGGACACACUAAACGUUAAGUAGAGAAUUGCGAAUUCGAACUACCUUUUGCAACAUAUCAAAUGUUCUAUACAUUUUUAUCAAACCAAAAUGAUAAGUUAUAUUAACACAACAAACUAAACGAGUUACCAAGCACAAAGAGUGUCAAGGAAACACAUCAAAAGUUUACAACAAUUCAAAAUCUAGCCAAACAAAUGAACCCAAAAAGAAAGAAAUACCACAUGGUAAAACCUAUACAUUCCAAGGGAUUGAAACACCAAUUAUGAUAAUCUAAAGCAAAAGAAGGGUUGCUUUCAUUCAACCAUCAAUAUUAUUUAAUAUAUUAUAAUUAUCUGAUUUGACUAUAUGGGUUAUAGUUAGAAGAACAUUGUGAAUGUAAACAUGGCAGCUUCUUCAAGCUGCACAUGUUGUUUUUCAACCCAUAGAGGAUAUUCUACAAUGUUUAAGUGAUUGUCCGCAUUCUAGAGAGAUUUGCCUCCUAUUGAAUAUGAGACGUUACCAUAAAUUUUUCUCCCAAACCGAUGUCAAGCUUUGCCAUCAUGAGAUGACAUAUGGUACCUCCUAUAUUUUGUUUGUUACAUGAUUAUAGUAUGUUUGGUGUAACACCCCGUUUUCCCAACAUAAAAAUUUCAUAAAAUAAUCAGAGUUAUUCGCGUAAACGGAAUGCUACACUUCUUUUUCUAAAAUCAUAAAUGAAAUAAUUAACUAAUUAUCCUUCAAAAUUCAACAACAUAAUAAUUAAUACUUCGCAACGGAAUUUAUUCAAACAUCUAAAUAGUCUUUGGCACAAAGGCCUCAUCAUAACGUCUCAUAAAAUCCAAUCUAAAACAUAGUCAUGUAAAAUCAGAAGCAAUACGUAAGGAAUAGAAAAGCAUGCAACAAAGUUCCCAUCCCGUUACGUAUCAGAGCACCUAAAGACACACGUGAGAGAUAGUCCACUCAUGACAGCAAAUUCGUGCAACAAAUUUUGCUUAUGGAUAAUUGUUGCUAAAUUCGUGCUCCAACUGUGAUGAUAUGUUUGUAUGCAUGAAUUGAUGAUAAUUGUAUGAUUGUUGGUGAAAUUACAUGUUCAAAUAUGUAAAAAUGAUAAGUUGUGAAAAUUGUGCUCAAUUGGUGAAUUUUGCUAAGUUGUUGUUAGAUUGAGUUAUGAUUCUUGUUCAAUUGAUGUUAUGGCUGUUAAUUGAUGUUGUGGUUGAUGAAUCAUUGCUUGGGUAUGCAUAUUCAUGAAUUGAGGAUGUUAAUUUGAGAUGUUGUUAAGUGUUUUGCUAAAUUUGUGAAUUGGCCCAAUUGUCAAGUGUUUUCAUGUUUGAUUGAGUCUUUGUGAGUCUUUUUAGUCAUAUUGACCUAUAAAGAUGUUCUGAAAACACAUUUGGGCAUUGAGGGAUCAAAAUUUGAGUUUUGGGGUGAAAAAUGGUUUAAACCCGUGAAAAAUUAUACAGAAAUGAUGACUGUUCGCUUAAGCGAGAUGGAAGCGAGCUGUAAGCGAACAACUACUGUAAGUAGUUCGCUUAAGCGAAGAAUUGUUCGCUUAAGCGAAAUGCCCUUUGACAACAUUUCUUAUUUCGCGUUCUUGUGUCUUUUUCACACGUUUCUGUUUUGAAUUGGAUUUUGGUGUAAACAUGAAAAUUUUAGAUAAUUAUGUUAGCUUUCUAAUGGCUUUGGUUUGACGUCCAAAUGAUUUUUAGAACUUGAGUUAUGAUCAAAUUACUACACAUGGUUCAUGUGGAUUUUUGUGAAAACUUAUCAUAACUUUUUCUAUGAGCCGUGAAACUUUUCCAAACUUGAUAUUGGGUUCAAUGAAGUACUUAGAGUGAAUAAUUGAGUAUGCAUUUAUGUAUUUGGGAAUAUGAAUGUGUUGAUGGUUUGAGAUAUAUUUUGGAUGGAAAGUGAAAGGUUGUGAAAACGGAUUUUGAGCUAAAAUGUCGUUUUAAGUGAUCACGUGAAAUAAGCUAUGUUUUAGCGAUUGCACUUGAGAUGUUAGAGUUGAAAAUGAUGUGUUAUUUUGCUGUUUUGAUUCAUAUUUUUGCUGGAACAUAUUUUACAUGGUCAAAACUUGGAUUUUCCAAAUGGUUUGAAACUUGAGAUUGUGUCGUUUCGGUUUUUCGGAAAUUGUCGAAACUUGGAAUUUUGGGAACAAAAAGGAUUGCAAGUUUGGUCUACAGUUCAUAUAGACUUAGACAAGGCUUGUAAGGUUAGUAUAAUGUAUUAAUCAUGUCAAACUUGAUUUUCGGGUGGGAUUGUGGAAUGUAUAAACUUGGGAUUUUCUCAUACGAACUUAUGCUAAUCUUUGAACUAAUGAUUGAUAGUUCGUAAGUGGCCUAUGCUCAUACUUAUAUAAUUGAUUAAGAUUGAAUUGUAGGAUUUCAAACUUGAAUAAGUUUCCUAGCUUUGAAAAAUUAUCAAUGUUGACCGUUUGACACAUGAUUUGGAUUUUUGUCGGAAAUGUUUCUUGAGCCAAUUGUCUUGUGAGUUAUUGUGACUAUUUUUGUAUGACUAAGUGAAGUUGUAUGAAAGAGUAAUUAUAUUUUGGAUAUGAUGUUUAUCAUGAGAUAUGUAUGCUAUCUUACUUAGAAUGUAAGGAAUGCUUGAAUGGUGAAACUAUAUAUGAUAGUUGAUGUUGAAUGAUUAUAUGUUGAAUAUGAUAUUUAUCAUGAGAUGUUGUUUUCCCUUUUACUUGGAAUAUGAGAAUGUUUGAAUUGGUGAAACUAUAUGUGAUAGUUGAUGUUGAAUGACAUUGUUGAUUAUUGAUAAUCAUGUUGAUGUGUGAGGAUGAAUACUAUGAUUUAAUUGUGUAUGGACAUGUUUUCUUGAUAAUGCAAAUGAUGUGGAGAUGAACAAUAUAAUUGGGUGUUGUCCUAUAUAUUGUGGAGAAAAUUGUGAUUGGUGUCGCAUUAUCGAGUCUUAUUACAUGUCCAUGCAUCAUAGUCGUGUAGUUGUAAAAGGGUUGAGCUCUUUUACUUCGGAGAUUAUGUAAGGCGGGUGUGAACCCUUCCUUACAUACGAUGUGAGUUGUUCCAUCGAAGGUGACGACCUUUUGGAGAUUUGGUACCACAUGCAUAUAUGUGUUAAUAGGUGCAUAUCAUGGCAUGAGUCUCAUUGAUAUAUGUGAUUGGUGAUUGUGUAUGAAUAACUGUGAAUUGAUAUUUGUUCAUGACACAUGUGAUUGGUGAUUAUUGAUGUGAGAUAUUGAGGUUUGAUGUAAGUAUUGAUUUGAGAAUAUUAUUAUUGAUCAAGUGCAUGAUGUUUAAAUUGAGAUAUUCAUGUUAACUGUUAUUUGGAUUAUGAUAAUGUAAUACUUACCCCAAGUGGAUCUGUGAUGGACCGCCUGCCUAUCUGUAUGGAUGGGUAGAUGUUGUGCAAGUUUAGAUGCUCGGUGAGUUUUAUGCUUGGUGGAUAUCGGGAGAUAUCGAUGUUUAGUGUGUAGUCGGCUCUGAUCUAAGCUUCGUUGUGUCAGUCUAGAUUAUCUUUAUUUUGGACUUUUGUUAUGUUGGAGAUUACCCGUUUGUUUGGGAUUUUUGAGAUGCAUCUAUGUUGAUGUAAUUAUUGUUUCAUGACAUGUAUAUUGGAUUACUCUAGUUUAUAUUCCGUUGCGAUUGUUGAGGUUUAUAUACAUGUUUAUUGUUUUUUUUGAAUUUUGAAUGUGGCGUAGCCUCUAUUUCUUGAAUAAUUGUAUUAUUCGCAUGUUUAAUUGCUUUAAUAGAAAUAGGAGCGUUACACUAUCCAGAUGGCUCCUGAUUUUUGUCGCAACCAAGGCUAUAACAACAUUAUUUGUGAGAGAUAUUUCUUGAAAGCGGUUGAGUUGUUUGUUGUUGGUUGUGAUCAUACAGUGCACACAUAUACCACUGACAUCCUUCAUAUUAGAGAUGUUUUAUAUGGAAAUGAUAACACUAAUUAAAUGUUGCAUGUUCUUAGAAAACAAAACAUGUGUGCAAAUUUUAUGGCUAAGGAGGGAUCAUAUUCAAGGUGCUCUGCUCACUAGGACUUUCCUGCAUGACUCGGAGUCUUUUAUCUUGAAGAAUAAACUUGAAAUUUAAUUUAUUAUAUACUUUUUCCCUUUUGUUUUGCCUCGUUAUGCUGUAACAUCACAAAAAAAUAUAGGUUAUACUUAAUUAAAAUAACUUCUUACUAAAGUAUUAUAAGCAUCCCUCACUUUAGCUUAAUGGCCGCUAGCUUUACCUACAACCCCAUCACCCAGGGUCGCUCCUUUGCGACUUCACUUUUGCUUGCUUGAGCUUAGAUAUUCACUAUUAAUUACUAAUAAACAAAAGACAACCGAUAGAAAGAGAAAAUUGGAUUAAACCUAAGUUAAAGCAUAUAAACCUAAGCUGACCGAAAGCAAUGUUGAUCUCUGCAAUUUGCGGCGCUAUCUAUGAGUCCUCCCUCUCUCAUGGUAACGGGAGAGAGCCUCAAAAGUUAGAGAAAAAGGGUGUAAAAUUAAUAAUCGAUGGUGUGCAAAAUAGUAAUAAUUAAGUGAGAUAGUAGGGUAAUUUAUGAAAUUCUAGGAUGUGCAUGUGCACACCCUCAUCUAUAGUUAGCGUAUAAAACCCAAAAUAAUUAAGUUUGUAAUGGAAACCUCCUCUAUUAGACGAUCAAGAAAGCCAAUCUUAGUCGAACUCAUCAUUUAAUACGAAAGGUAAAUAAGUUUGAAAGCCAAUAUUAGUCGAGCAUAUCGUUUAAUGCAGAAACAUGUUGAUUUGUCUCAGAUGACAAUUCUAGAGUGGUGCAAGGAUACUGAAUGAGAGCUUUUAAUGAAGGGGUUGCUUUGUUUAUGGAGAAUUUGUGGGUGCAUCAAUACUGCCUCUAACACCCCCCCUCCCCAAUGCUUGAAGAACUUGCCGAUGACAUUCUCUUUUGGUUCACUGAAACCAUAAUGCUGCUUCCUUUUGCUCACAUAGAAAGGAUACUCAGAAACAAAAUGUGUCCUCUCUCUAUACAUGCAUCAAGAUCUACUAAUGAUAUGCUAAAGGGGUAAUUAAGAAACUCAUGGUUAUGUAUGAAGAAUGCUUACAAGGUCAUUUUAUCUCUAUUAAGAUACUUAGGGAGGAACGCCUGUCUUGGGCAAACUGCUCAACCUCUAGUAAUGAAACUACAUGGCAAAGUAACAUCGAUUCAGAGAUCGUACUUGGUCAACAACCCUUGAUUUGACUGAAUUUAAAGAAUGCACAAUACUUUAACAAUAAAAUAUAUAUUUUUAGUAUUUUAUAAGAUAAUAAAUUUAUUAUUUUAAUUGUACUCGUUUAUAGAGUGCCUUGUUUUAGUCUUGAAUUUGAAACCCAGUGUUUACUUACAAUUUACUAUUGAAAAAUGAUAUAAUUUAGGUUGUUUUAACCUUUUCCUCUCUUUUGUUUUCUUUUUAAUGGUACAAAGUAGAAACACUCUUCCUCAUUUAAUUCUCUAUAUAAAAGCCAACCUAUUUGUUGGUCAUGUUUUAAAAUACCAACUCCUAAUCUACCAAAAAAAAAAUAAAAAAAAAUAAAUAAAUAAAAUACCAACUCCUAUGGCCUAGUCAGACCAAUCCAAGGGGUUACUCUUCAUUCUAUUCUCUAUAAAAACCAACCCAUUAGGUCCUUCAUUUCUCAAAUCCCACAGUUCUUGUCUUCCUAUAUUGCGUGUGUCUGGGUGUGGAUAAAAAUGGCAGCCACUCAUGGGAAAAUAAUCUUGUUCAUGUUUCUUGCAGCCUUUAUGUUGUUUAAUACCCAAAAUGCAUUCGUGAGUUGUGCUUUAACAUCAGAGUUACAAAACAAAAUUGCUAAAAUCAACGAAGAGGGUCCUUAUUU